rnacentral:piRNA from 1 species
UGAUCACUGAUUGUCACAGGGUUGGUGGCCA